rnacentral:rRNA from 1 species
AUUAGAUACCCUAUUAUUUUUAUUGUAAAAUUGAAAGCCAGAGUAGUAGUAGAAUAUGAUCUUGAAACUUAAAGAAUUUGGCGGUAUUAUAGUCUAUUUAGAGGAAUCUGUUAUGUAAUCGAUAGUCCGCGUUGAACCUUACUUAUAUUAAUUCUUGUAUACCGCUGUUUUUGAAUAUAUUAUAAGAUAAGAUUUUCUGGAUAUAUUAAUAAAUAAAAUUUCAAGUCAAGGUGCAGUAAUAUAUAAGUUGAAUAAUGGAUUACAAUAAAAUUUAUUUAUUUAUGAAUUAUUAUUAUAAAAUAAUAUGAAGGUGGAUUUAAUUGUAAUUUUUUGAAGAUUGUGGAAAUGAUUUUUAGCUCUAUAAUAUGCACACAUCGCCCG